rnacentral:rRNA from 1 species
UACGAAGGGGGCUAGCGUUGUUCGGAAUUACUGGGCGUAAAGCGUGCGUAGGUGGUUCGUUAAGUCUGAUGUGAAAGCCCUGGGCUCAACCUGGGAAUGGCAUUGGAAACUGGCGAUCUAGAGUGCGGUAGAGGGUAGUGGAAUUCCCGGUGUAGCAGUGAAAUGCGUAGAGAUCGGGAGGAACAUCUGUGGCGAAGGCGACUGCCUGGACCAGCACUGACACUGAGGCACGAAAGCUAGGGGAGCAAACAGG